rnacentral:misc_RNA from 1 species
GAUGAAGAACGUAGUAAAAUGCGAUAAGUAAUGUGAAUUGCAGAAUUCAGUGAAUCAUCGAAUCUUUGAACGCACAUUGCGCCCGCCAGUAUUCUGGCGGGCAUGUCUGUUCGAGCGUCAUUUCAACCCUCAAGCACAGCUUGGUGUUGGGACUCGCGUUAAUUCGCGUUCCCCAAAUUGAUUGGCGGUCACGUCGAGCUUCCAUAGCGUAGUAGUAAAACCCUCGUUACUGGUAAUCGUCGCGGCCACGCCGUUAAACCCCAACUUCUGAAUGUUGACCUCGGAUCAGGUAGGAAUACCCGCUGAACUUAAGCAUAUCAAUAAGCGGAGGA